rnacentral:rRNA from 1 species
UACGUAGGCAGCAAGCGUUGUUCGGAAUUACUGGGCGUAAAGAGUGUGUAGGCGGUGCUCCAAGUCUGUUGUGAAAUCUCCCGGCUUAACUGGGAGGGUGCGGCGGAAACUGGAGUGCUUGAGUGUGGGAGAGGUAAGCGGAAUUCCUGGUGUAGCGGUGAAAUGCGUAGAUAUCUGGAGGAACACCGGUGGCGAAGGCGACGUCCUGGACCGGCAUUGACGCUGAGGCGCGACAGCGUGGGGAGCAAACAGG